GACGGGACCGCACAAGCGGUGGAUGAUGUGGUUAAUUCGAUGCAACGCGAAAACCUUACCACCUUUGACAUGGCAGGAAUCCUAAAGAGAUUUGGGAGUGCUCGAAAGAGAACCUGCACACAGGUGCUGCAUGGCUGUCGUCAGCUCGUGUCGUGAGAUGUUGGGUUAAGUCCCGCAACGAGCGCAACCCUUAUCCCCAGUUGCCAUCAGGUAAAGCUGGGAACUCUGGGGAGACUGCCGGUGAUAAACCGGAGGAAGGCGGGGAUGACGUCAAGUCCUCAUGGCCCUUACAUCCCGGGCUACACACGUGCUACAAUGGCAGGUACAGAGGGCUGCGAAGCCGCGAGGUGGAGCGAAUCCCAGAAAACCUGUCUCAGUCCGGAUUGAAGUCUGCAACUCGACCUCAUGAAGGCGGAAUCGCUAGUAACCGCGAAUCAGCAGGUCGCGGUGAAUACGUUCCCGGGCCUU
rnacentral:rRNA from 1 species